GGCGGUUCUCAGGUGACGCACCCCGAAAUUGGGCUCCCUCCUCUCUGUUUCUAGAUGUGUCACCCGAGAACUGCA
rfam:Myotis lucifugus cont2.2516, whole genome shotgun sequence.